rnacentral:lncRNA from 1 species
CACUGCAUCACUGAUAAAGCUUUUAUUUUCAGCAUUUUAGAAGUGCAUUUCCUGCCAUCUAUGAAUAGGUCUCCAAGCGAUAUGAAUAGGCCCCCAAGAGGGUGCGGCUCAGAACACGGACAAUGCAUCCAGCCUGCUCCUCCUCUCUGUCAGAGAUCAGGCCACCCCGAGCUUUCUGAAAACCAUUCGAGGGAAAGGAUCCUCCUUGCCACUUGGCAGCUGUGCUGGAGCCCUGGAAACGCAGGUGCCACGGACGUCCUCACCGGCUUCUGGGUGGACAGAGCCCCCUUUGAGCAGCAGCUCCUCCUCUCACCCAAAGCACCGCCACAGCCUCCUGCUGCUCCCACCUCUCUGGAGCAUCCUCUUCUCUCGGGCUUGUGCUCCCGGCCCCUGCUGAAGAUGACCAUGGUCUGGGCUUGGCUUCCUGUCUUAAGGAAUUCCCCGGUAACUCAGCUCCAAUGGAGAUGGAGUCCUUCUUCCUAUGUUUAUUGUGUGGGUUUCUGUCUUCUUAUUCUUCAGAUGGACUUCAGGAGAGAUGGACAAGCAUCUCUGCGCUCACUUCUACAAGUGAAUUUGAACUGGACACUCUUGUAACUAGUUUAAAUAUUCGUGGACAACAACUAUUUUGGGUGGAAUUUUUAAUUAUUAAGCACAAGACGUGGCAUUUGAACCUGUGUGGUGUCAUUAACUUCCCAUAAUGACCCUAAGCAGCCCCAUUUUACAAGUGAAGAAGCUGAGAUUCAGAGAGUCUGUGCAUUUGCUUGAAGCUGCAGAGCUUGUAAGUGGUAGACCCAGUAUUUGAACUCAAAUCUUCUAAUUCUCAACUGUGUGCUUUGUGCUACGGGUGAGAACAAAACAAAACUAGCUAUCAUGGGUGGAUAACGAU